GCCCUUAUAGCUCAAUUAGGUAGAGCAUCUUCAUGGUAAGGAGACGGUUGUGAGUUCAAUUCUCGUUAAGGGCU
rnacentral:tRNA from 1 species